UAUACAAAGGUAUUGUAAUAAGAUUUUAAUUGAAUGCUAAAAGAAUGGAAAUUUAAAAAAAAACUUUUUUAAAAAUAAAAAUUGAAUUUUUUUUAAUUUGUGCAAAAACAAUUAUAUUUAUUAAAGACAAGAAGACCCUAAGAAUUUAAGAUUUUACAAUUAAAAAGUUUUUUUUUAAAAUCUUGAUUGGGGCGAUCAAAAAAUAUUAAUAACUUUUUAAAAUUUAAAUUGAUCUAUUAUUAAUAAACUAAUGAAUUAAAUACUCUAGGGAUAACAGCGUAAUAAUUUUUGAUAGAUCUUAUUGACAAAAUAGUUUGCGACCUCGAUGUUGGAUUAGGAUUCUUUUUUAAUGAAGAAGUUAAAAAAAGAAGUUUGUUCAACUUUUAAAUUC
rnacentral:rRNA from 1 species